UUUUCUCAACGAAUAUACGUUUCGAAACGACAUAGAGUAAAUACUUAAUACGAAACAACAAAGGUAUUAGUCAUUGUCAACAUAAAUUGUGAAUUACGUAUUGCUGCUACGGAUUAACGUGCUUACAUGAAGUAAUAAAUGCAAUCAAAGACCCAAAAUACAGUUAGAAUUUACUGAGGUCGUAGUGAAUAUCAGCACAGAAACUUAUACAAUGGUAAAGAUGUAGAAGAUGGAUGACCAAAACAGAGAGAGAAUUCUAGGACAGAAAAGAUGUAGAUGUUGGAUAACCAUCCUGGAACAGAACCGUAGGACAAGAAAGAUGUAGAUGAUGGGUGACCAAGCUGGGACAGAAUGCCAAGACAGGAAAGAUGUAGAAAUGAGUGGACCAGGAAGCAAAGAAUCAUUACACCAAGAUAUUGCCAUAUAGUUGUGGAAAACUGAAGAAUCCUCCCCCCUGGCUCCUCUCUUUCAGGCACUACCUAUCAAAUAUAAUUCAAGCUGAGGAGACAAAAGACUGUGGUGACGAAAGCUAGAGGGUUUUAGUUCUCCACUAAGAAUAGGUGUGCUCGGUUGUCUUGGACACUCCUAAUGUCCCCUGUGACAGGUCAGCCAGCAGCGACAAAGUCAUUAGUAUCAGGGUGCACACCCACCUUCCAGGCAAUGAGAACAGCAGCUAAUCAUCGACGAUGUUUUCUUUUUCUAUUGUGGUGGGCAUCCGCAUACUAUAAGCGCAGCCAACACACUAGCAGCACCACGUGCCGACGUCACGGGCACAGAGAAGACAUCACCUAUUGGCUGGAGACGCUGUGGCUCUGCUGUUACCACAACAGAAACAUUACAUCAUUGUGAGGCUAACAUCAGUACAGUCAGAAAUGUUUACCUGGCAUUUAAAACUGAUUUUUGUUUACAAUAAACAAAUUAUUUGAGCAACAUGAGAAUACUCAUUGAGAGUAACUUAUCAUUGUUUAAUAGUUCGCGUAACAACCUUCACUGAGAUCAGUGUAGGGCAUCUGUUUUAGCUUUGUACUAGAGCAUUAGUUACACGACGAUACAUGCAUUGGCCUAUUCACUUUCAUUCAGCAUCUUGUUCCAUCAGAAAUUUAACAGCAUUCUUGAAGGCGUUCACUGCCAACCACUUAGCCUAUCUGUAGCAGUGUAUGUUAUGCGUCAUCAACCUCACAAUUUCUUUAUGGUAGAACUCUCAAUACAGACAAAGUUUCCAGAGCUUCAUGUUUUCGAAGCCAUCUUCAGAGUAUAACAGUCCUAGAUCGAGAGAUAAUGCCUGAGAAAAGAAACUUAUAAUAGAGAAGAAUUUAUCUGUGGUCGUCACAGACACAGCUACAAACUAAUAAUCCUGACUUUUUUCCCAUGGAAAUCUUAACACUUAAACAUCGCUCUUGACAUAUUCUGCCUGAGAAAGGCCACACCAGU